rnacentral:tRNA from 1 species
GAUGCUGCUCAGUGGUAGAGUACUUGCCUAGCAUGUGUGAGCCCCUGGGUUUGAUACCCAGUACCAUUA